rnacentral:rRNA from 1 species
AUUGAACGCUGGCGGCAGGCCUAACACAUGCAAGUCGAGCGCGAAAGUCUUCGGAUGAGUAAAGCGGCGAACGGGUGAGUAAUGCAUGGGAAUCUGCCUGGUAGUGGGGGACAACGUCUCGAAAGGGACGCUAAUACCGCAUACGCCCUACGGGGGAAAGGGGGGGAUCUUCGGACCUCUCGCUAUCAGAUGAGCCCAUGUCAGAUUAGCUAGUUGGUGAGGUAAAGGCUCACCAAGGCGACGAUCUGUAACUGGUCUGAGAGGAUGAGCAGUCACACUGGAACUGAGACGCGGUCCAGACUCCGACGGGAGGCAGGAGGGGGGAAUAUUGGACAAUGGGGGGAACCCUGAUCCAGCCAUGCCGCGUGUGUGAAGAAGGCCCUAGGGUUGUAAAGCACUUUCAGUGGGGAGAAAGGUUAUUCACCUAAUACGUGAGUAGAUUGAUGUUACCCACAGAAGAAGCACCGGCUAACUCCGUGCCAGCCGCCGCCGUAACAC